rnacentral:rRNA from 1 species
AGACAGCAGUCGCCACGGUAAUACGAAGGGGGCUAGCGUUGUUCGGAAUCACUGGGCGUAAAGCGCACGUAGGCGGAUACUUAAGUCAGGGGUGAAAUCCCGGGGCUCAACCUCGGAACUGCCUUUGAUACUGGGUAUCUUGAGUCCGGGAGAGGUUGGUGGAACUCCGAGUGUAGAGGUGAAAUUCGUAGAUAUUCGGAAGAACACCAGUGGCGAAGGCGGCCAACUGGCCCGGUACUGACGCUGAGGUGCGAAAGCGUGGGGAGCGAACAGGAUUAGAUACCCGCGUAGUCCCUGUCUCUUAUAC